CUAUGCGCCUUGCCAGCCCGCUCAGUCAGAGUUUGAUCCUGGCUCAGGAUGAACGCUGGCGGCGUGCUUAACACAUGCAAGUCGAACGGGCUUAUUUAAGCUUGCUUAGAUAAGUUAGUGGCGGACGGGUGAGUAACGCGUGGAUAACCUACCUUAUACAGGGGGAUAACAGUUAGAAAUGACUGCUAAUACCGCAUAAGACUAUAGUAUCGCAUGAUAUAAUAGCCAAAUAUGAAAAUAGGUAUGAGAUGGGUCCGCGUCUGAUUAGCUAGUUGGAGUGGUAAAGGCAGACCAAGCAACGAUCAGUAGCCGGCUUGAGAGAGUGAACGGCCACAUUGGGACUGAGAUACGGCCCAG
rnacentral:rRNA from 1 species